CCUACGGGGUGCAGCAGUGGGGAAUAUUGCACAAUGGGGGAAACCCUGAUGCAGCGACGCCGCGUGAGUGAAGAAGUAAUUCGUUAUGUAAAGCUCUAUCAGCAGGGAAGAAAAUGACGGUACCUGAGUAAGAAGCCCCGGCUAACUACGUGCCAGCAGCCGCGGUAAUACGUAGGGGGCAAGCGUUAUCCGGAUUUACUGGGUGUAAAGGGAGCGUAGACGGCAGUGCAAGUCUGGAGUGAAAGGCGGGGGCUCAACCGCGGAACCGCUUUGGAAACUGCGAGGCUGGAGUGCUGGAGAGGUAAGCGGAAUUCCUGGUGUAGCGGUGAAAUGCGUAGAUAUCAGGAGGAACACCGGUGGCGAAGGCGGCUUACUGGACAGUGACUGACGUUGAGGCUCGAAAGCGUGGGGAGCGAACAGGAUUAGAUACCCUUGUAGUC
rnacentral:rRNA from 1 species